GCUGGCAUAGCUCAGUAGGUAGAGCAACUGACUUGUAAUCAGUAGGCCGCCCGUUCGAUUCGGGCUGCCAGCACCA
rnacentral:tRNA from 1 species